AGACAAUGCGCAAGCUCAGCGUAUGGUUACAGAAAGGGGAUUUUGGUAUCAACGAAGAAUCGAUCGUGAUCUUCGAUACUGUUGUCGUUUGGCCGACUACGGUAAAAAAAGUGUCUUCAACUCGUGAUUUACUUAGGCAUGUACAAUUGGACUAAGAAAUUAGGCGUAUCAAACUUUAUUCUUUUUAGGAAAAGACAUCUCAGAACUUUGAUCAGUACGUAUAGUAAUUAUUCAUAAUAAAAUUCUCAGAGAAGGAGAUAUUAUUUUGAUUAUAACUGCUAAAAGUUCAAUCAAAACGAUACACAAGAUGUGUUUUAAAGUAAACUUGCUAUUCAUACUUGCUGUCUUCAGCUUGUUUAAUAUAAAGUACCUAUGUUCUUCAAAAUCAGUUUCACCUCCUUAUGUGCCACCUAAAAAUUGUGACCGUCCGUAUGACCGUGGUCCUUGCUUCUCGGAGGACAUGAGAAUCAGUAGAACUUUUCAGUGGAGAUAUUGGUUUGAUGUGUAUGAGUCGUUCGAUUGUGAGCGUUUUGAGUACGGGGGUUGCGGAGGAAAUGGAAAUAAUUAUUUAAGUUAUCAAGAAUGCUAUGAUGAAUGCUAUGAUAAAUACACUAAACAUCGGCAACGAAAGACGAUAAAUCUCGAAAAAGAAAGAAAUGAUUACAACAUUCGAAGAGGAAAUACGGAUUUUUAAAACAUAAAAUUUUUUAGGAUGUUCCAUAUAUUGAUAUAUGUUUGUUAUAGUUUGAUAUUGAGUUUUAAUAGAAGCACUAAAUGAAAAACUCUGUGAAGUCUUUAUGAAAUACUUAUAAAAGUGUUUUAUUUUUACAAUAAUUGACAAUAAUAAAAUGAAA